rnacentral:lncRNA from 1 species
GGAUGAUUUUUUUUUUGUUUUAUGUCUCUUACUUUUGCCUGGAUUGCCCUUUCGGGGUUUCAAUCCACCGAGACGCUCAUUUUUUCCUAAGCCGCCCUUUCGGGUUUUCAACUUAGAAAGUUGUUCUUUUUUUUAGGCGAAGUAUUUCUUGACUGCAUCUGCGUUCACAUGGCGAGUGAACUCUUCACCAUCCAUAGUUGUAAGAAUCAAAGCACCGCUUGAAAA